GGAUUCCCCUAGUAACGGCGAGUGAAGCGGGAUGAGCUCAAGCUUAAAAUCUCUGUCACAAAUUUAUUUUGUGCGGCGAAUUGUAGUCUAUAGAGGCGUGAUCAGUGUAGGCGCUUGAGGUAAGUUCCUUGAAAAAGGACAGCAUGGAGGGUGAAACUCCCGUUCAUACUUAAGUGGCUUGCACGUACGAUUCGUUUUCUUUGAGUCGCGUUGUUUGAGAAUGCAGCGCAAAGUAGGUGGUAAAUUCCAUCUAAAGCUAAAUAUUGGUGCGAGACCGAUAGCGAACAAGUACCGUGAGGGAAAGAUGAAAAGAACUCUGAAAAGAGAGUUAAAGAGUACCUGAAACUGCUGAAAGGGAACCAAAUCGUUUCUAGUGUCUAUAAUCUAUGACAUAUUUCAUUGGGAAGUGUGUGCGUGUGUAUACUAUGGCAGCGGCUUUUUUAGUUGCGCUUGGUGUGCGUGCUGUAUGUACUAACUGAUGCCCUGUGUUAUAGUGGGACGUCAAGGUCAGUUUGUAUACUGCGGGAAAUGGCUACUGAGGAGGUAGGGCUUACGCUUGCGUUUGUCUAUUAUAUCUUGGUAGUUGUGUCGUGGUUGAGACUGAGGUGUUCUACAACGUGCUUAUGAGUGGGUCUACGUCUCCGUGUGCGCCGUGUGCAGAUAGCUUGCUAUGUGUAUGUGGUGGUGUGUGGAUUGAUAUGGGCUUUAUCUUACUGCCGUUCGGGACUUUGACGAAAUAGAGCGAUUUGACCCGUCUUGAAACACGGACCAAGGAGUCUAACAUAUGUGCAAGUGUUAGGGUGUGGAAACCCCAGCGCGAAAUGAAAGUAAAGGAUAGUGUAAACUAUCUUAGGUAGGAAACGUUAUGAACUUCGGUUUGUGGCGUGGCACUAUCGACCGAUCAUGAACCCUCGUGGUGAAAGAUUUGAGUUUGAGCACAUAUGUUGGUACCCGAAAGAUGGUGAACUAUGCCUGAGUAGGGUGAAGCCAG
rnacentral:rRNA from 1 species